CCUACGGGGGGCAGCAGUGGGGAAUAUUGGACAAUGGGCGAAAGCCUGAUCCAGCCAUGCCGCGUGUGUGAAGAAGGCCUUCGGGUUGUAAAGCACUUUCAGUGGGGAAGAAAGCCUUGGGGCUAAUACCCUCGAGGAAGGACAUCACCCACAGAAGAAGCACUGGCUAACUCCGUGCCAGCAGCCGCGGUAAUACGGAGGGUGCGAGCGUUAAUCGGAAUUACUGGGCGUAAAGCGCGCGUAGGCGGUCUGAUAAGCCGGUUGUGAAAGCCCCGGGCUCAACCUGGGAACGGCAUCCGGAACUGUCAGGCUAGAGUGCAGGAGAGGAAGGUAGAAUUCCCGGUGUAGCGGUGAAAUGCGUAGAGAUCGGGAGGAAUACCAGUGGCGAAGGCGGCCUUCUGGACUGACACUGACGCUGAGGUGCGAAAGCGUGGGUAGCAAACAGGAUUAGAUACCCUAGUAGUC
rnacentral:rRNA from 1 species